rnacentral:lncRNA from 1 species
UCAGGUAUAUAUGUUAUUGUUAAGGUCUUUGUGUAUAUGUCUUGUCCUUUUUUUGUCCUUAUUUUUUUUCCUUUAGGUUGUGCGACCCAGGACUUGGCCAUACCAGGUAUAUAUGUUAUUGUUAAGGUCUUUUGUGUAUAUGUCUUGUCCUUUUUUUUCCUUUAGGAUGUACGGCCCAGGACUUCGCCAUACCAGGUAUAUAUGUUAUUGUUAAGGUCUUUGUGUAAGUUUCAUGUCCUUUUUUUGCCCCUAUUUUUUUUCCUUUAGGUUGUACGGCCCAGGACUUGGCCAUACCAGGUAUAUAUGUUAUUGUUAAGGUCUUUGUGUACAUUUCUGUCCUUUUUUUGCCCCUAUUUUUUUUCCUUUAGGUUGUGCAGCCCAGGACUUGGCCAUACCAGGUAUAUAUGUUAUUGUUAAGGUCUUUGUGUAUGUGUCUCAUGUCUUUUUUUGCCCCUAUUUUUUUUCCUUUAGGUUGUGCGGCCCAGGACUUGGCCAUACCAGGUAUAUAUGUUAUUGUUAAGGUCUUUGUGUAGUGUCUGUCAUUUUUUUGCCCCUAUUUUUUUCCUUUAGGUUGUGCGGCCCAGGACUUGGCCAUACCAGGUAUAUAUGUUAUUGUUAAGGUCUUUGUGUAAGUUUCAUGUCCUUUUUUUGCCCCUAUUUUUUUCCUUUAGGUUGUACAGCCCAGGACUUGGCCAUACCAGGUAUAUAUGUUAUUGUUAAGGUCUUUGUGUAUCAUGUCUUGCCCCUUUUUUUUUCCCUUUAGGUUGUGCAGCCCAGGACUUGGCCAUACCAGGUAUAUAUGUUAUUGUUAAGGUCUUUGUGUAAUGUCUCAUGUCCUUUUUUUGCCCCUAUUUUUUUCCUUUAGGUUGUGCAGCCCAGGACUUGGCCAUACCAGGUAUAUAUGUUAUUGUUAAGGUCUUUGUGUAUUUCUGUCAUUUUUUUGCCCCUAUUUUUUUCCUUUAGGUUGUGCAGCCCAGGACUUGGCCAUACCAGGUAUAUAUGUUAUUGUUAAGGUCUUUGUGUUGUGUCUGUCUUUUUUUGCCCCUUAUUUUUUUUUCCUUUAGGUUGUGCGGCCCAGGACUUGGCCAUACCAGGUAUAUAUGUUAUUGUUAAGGUCUUUGUGUAAUGUCUGUCCUUUUUUUGCCCCUAUUUUUUUCCUUUAGGUUGUGCAGCCCAGGACUUGGCCAUACGAGGUAUAUAUGUUAUUGUUAAGGUCUUUGUGUGUGUUUCAUGUCUUUUAUUUGCCCCUUUUCUUUUCCUUUAGGUUGUGCAGCCCAGGACUUGGCCAUACCAGGUAUAUAUGUUAUUAUUAAGGUCUUUGUGUAAGUCUCAUGUCCUUUUUUUGCCCCUAUUUUUUUUCCUUUAGGUUGUGCAGCCCAGGACUUGGCCAUACCAGGUAUAUAUGUUAUUGUUAAGGUCUUUGUGUAUAUAUGUCUUGUCCUUUUUUGUCCUUAUUUUUUUUCCUUUAGGUUGUGCGACCCAGGACUUGGCCAUACCAGGUAUAUAUGUUAUUGUUAAGGUCUUUGUGUAUAUGUCUUGUCCUUUUUUUGUCCUUAUUUUUUUUCCUUUAGGUUGUGCGACCCAGGACUUGGCCAUACCAGGUAUAUAUGUUAUUGUUAAGGUCUUUUGUGUAUAUGUCUUGUCCUUUUUUUGUCCUUUUUUUUUCCUCUAGGUUGUUCGGCCCAGUACUUGGCCAUACCAGGUAUAUAUAUGUUAUUGUUAAGGUCUUUGUGUAUAUGUCUUGUCCUUUUUUUGUCCUUAUUUUUUUUCCUUUAGGUUGUGCGACCCAGGACUUGGCCAUACCAGGUAUAUAUGUUAUUGUUAAGGUCUUUGUGUAUAUGUU